rnacentral:tRNA from 1 species
AGGGCUAGCCGGGCCGAAAUACCGGCUUCUAACCAGUAUUUGGGGGUUCGACUCCUCCGUGCCC